rnacentral:rRNA from 1 species
ACGUAGGUGGCAAGCGUUGUCCGGAAUUAUUGGGCGUAAAGCGCGCGCAGGCGGCUUCUUAAGUCUGAUGUGAAAUCUUGCGGCUCAACCGCAAGCGGUCAUUGGAAACUGGGAGGCUUGAGUGCAGAAGAGGAGAGUGGAAUUCCACGUGUAGCGGUGAAAUGCGUAGAGAUGUGGAGGAACACCAGUGGCGAAGGCGGCUCUCUGGUCUGUAACUGACGCUGAGGCGCGAAAGCGUGGGGAGCAAACAGG